rnacentral:tRNA from 1 species
GAUCCGGUAGCUCAGUCGGUAGAGCACCUGACUUUUAAUCAGGUUGUCGCGGGUUCGAUUCCCGCCCGGAUCACCA